GACGAACGUUGGCGGCGUGCUUAAUACAUGCAAGUCGACUGAAGCAGUGGUAGCAAUAUCGCUGUGUCGGUGGCGCACGGGUGAGUAACACGUAGGCAAUCUGCCUUCAGGUCUGGCAUAACUCCGGGAAACCGGGGCUAAUAGCAGAUGAUGCAGCGGCUCGACAUCGUGACGGUUGUUAAAGCUAUGGCGCCUGAAGAUGAGCCUGCGUCUGAUUAGCUAGUUGGCGGGGUAACGGCCCACCAAGGCAACGAUCAGUAGCUGGACGGGUAGGAUGACCGGGCAGACGGGAAGUGAGACACGGUCCAGACUACGGCGGGGAGUAGUAGGAGGGAAUAAUGCGCAAUAGGAUGAAUCCUGAAGCGACAACGCCGCGAGAAGGGCGAAGGGCGUGGGCUUGUAAACCGCGGUGGAGAGAGAAAAAAAUCCCAAUCUUGGGGACAUGAUGGCAACUCAUAAGUAAGCCCCGGCUAACUACGUG
rnacentral:rRNA from 1 species